rnacentral:rRNA from 1 species
UACGUAGGGAGCAAGCGUUGUCCGGAAUCAUUGGGCGUAAAGAGCGUGUAGGCGGUCCGGUAAGUCCGUUGGUGAAAGUCGAGGGCUCAACCCUCGAAUGCCGGCGGAUACUGUCGGACUAGAGUCCGGUAGGGGACCAUGGAAUUCCUGGUGUAGCGGUGGAAUGCGUAGAGAUCCGGAAGAACACCGGUGGCGAAGGCGGUCUGCUGGGCGGUGAACUCGCAAGAGUUCAAUAGCCGACACUGAGGCGCGACAGCGUGGGGAGCAAACAGG